AUUGAACGCUGGCGGCAGGCCUAACACAUGCAAGUCGAGCGAGCGGCGGACGGGGGAGUAAAGUAUGUGGACUGCCAGAUAGAGGGGGAUAAAUACUGGAAACGGUGGCUAAUACCGCAUACUGUAGGAUAACACAUAUGGGAUUAGCUAGGAGGUAAGGUAAUGGCUUACCUAGGCGACGAUCCCUAGCUGGUCUGAGAGGAUGAUCAACCCCAAUGGGACUGAGACACGGCCCAGACUCCUACUGAUCCACCGUUGUCAAAUGUUGCACAAUGGGCGCAAGCCUGAUUCAGCCAUGCCGCGUGUAUGAAGAAGACCCUAGGGUUUUAAAGUACUUUCAGUCGGGAGGCGUUACCGACAGAAGAAGCACCGGCUAACUCCGUGCCAGCCGCCGCGGUAAUUC
rnacentral:rRNA from 1 species